UUGACCUCGGAUCAGGUAGGACUACCCGCUGAACUUAAGCAUAUCAAUAAGCGGAGGAAAAGAAACCAACAGGGAUUGCCCCAGUAACGGCGAGUGAAGCGGCAACAGCUCAGAUUUGGAAUCUGGCCCCCAGGGCCCGAGUUGUAAUCUGGAGAGGAUGCUUCUGGCGCGGCGCCUUCCGAGUUCCCUGGAACGGGACGCCGGAGAGGGUGAGAGCCCCGUACGGUUGGACGCCUAGCCUUUGUGAAGCUCCUUCGACGAGUCGAGUAGUUUGGGAAUGCUGCUCAAAAUGGGAGGUAAAUUUCUUCUAAAGCUAAAUACCGGCCAGAGACCGAUAGCGCACAAGUAGAGUGAUCGAAAGAUGAAAAGCACUUUGAAAAGAGGGUCAAACAGUACGUGAAAUUGUUGAAAGGGAAGCGCCCGUGGCCAGACUUGUGCCCCGCGGACCACCCGGCGCCCUCAGCGCCGGUGCACUCCGCGGGGCGCAGGCCAGCAUCGGUUUUCCUAGGGGGAUAAAGGCGGCGGGAACGUGGCUCCCUCGGGAGUGUUAUAGCCCGCCGCGCCAUGCCCCUGGGGGGACCGAGGACCGCG
rnacentral:rRNA from 2 species